GAUGAACGCUGGCGGCGUGCCUAAUACAUGCAAGUCGAGCGAACAGAUGAGGAGCUUGCUCCUCUGACGUUAGCGGCGGACGGGUGAGUAACACGUGGAUAACCUACCUAUAAGACUGGGAUAACUUCGGGAAACCGGAGCUAAUACCGGAUAAUAUAUUGAACCGCACGGUUCAAUAGUGAAAGACGGUUUUGCUGUCACUUACAGAUGGAUCCGCGCCGCAUUAGCUAGUUGGUAAGGUAACGGCUUACCAAGGCAACGAUGCGUAGCCGACCUGAGAGGGUGAUCGGCCACACUGGAACUGAGACACGGUCCAGACUCCUACGGGAGGCAGCAGUAGGGAAUCUUCCGCAAUGGGCGAAAGCCUGACGGAGCAACGCCGCGUGAGUGAUGAAGGUCUUCGGAUCGUAAAACUCUGUUAUUAGGGAAGAACAAAUGUGUAAGUAACUAUGCACGUCUUGACGGUACCUAAUCAGAAAGCCACGGCUAACUACGUG
rnacentral:rRNA from 1 species